UACGAAGGGGGCUAGCGUUGCUCGGAAUCACUGGGCGUAAAGCGCACGUAGGCGGCUUUCUAAGUCAGAGGUGAAAUCCUGGAGCUCAACUCCAGAACUGCCUUUGAUACUGGAGAGCUUGAGUUCGGGAGAGGUGAGUGGAACUGCGAGUGUAGAGGUGAAAUUCGUAGAUAUUCGCAAGAACACCAGUGGCGAAGGCGGCUCACUGGCCCGAUACUGACGCUGAGGUGCGAAAGCGUGGGUAGCAAACAGG
rnacentral:rRNA from 1 species